rnacentral:lncRNA from 1 species
UACAUAUGACAUUAUUAUGCAUAUUUGAUAUAGGCUUUGAGACAAUAUAUUCAAAAGAGCACGAAAUCUUUUCUUCAAAAAAUUGAUGAAUGUACAAUAAUGUAGUUGUCUAAACAAUGAAACUUACUCAUGGCAUCUCUAUGAAAAACUUGCAUAAUUAUGCUUUCUAAACUCAUUUAGCACACUUCUAUGGUGACACUAGAGAUAAUGAUUGAUCUUCUAAUUUAGGAAUAACUUCACCAAAUAAGAGGAAUCCUGUAAUUGCCAUACAAACAUCUAAUGUAACAAAAUAUUGUGAAAAUUUAUGAUUACUAUCGAGAUAAAUUCUCAACUCCUACUUAUACGUGAAUCCCUAGUUUUCCCCCACAAAUUUUCUCAUCAAGCAUCUCAAUUUGUUCUUUGUCUCAUGGAUGACUUUGUAGUCCACAUUAGUUAGUCCACUUGCCAAGCACAUUCUAUCAACAACAAAAAAAAAAACUUCAACAUACAUAAUUUCAUAAUACAUUAUGAGAAUUAAGGUGAUCAAGAAGUCAAAUAAGAGAUUGAACAUACCAAAGAAAAUUUAAUUAGUGUCAUAUGAGUUUCAUAUGUGAAAAGUGAAAAAUUAUAAAUCAAUUCACCUUUUGUCUUGAAAUAAAUCACAUUCCACAUUCUUCAAAUCUUAUUCCUUAUCAUCAAAUCAUGUCUAUUAUAAUGACCAACUCUGAAAAAA